ensembl:miRNA gga-mir-1736 gga-mir-1736
GAUGACACAUGAGGUUGAGGGCAAUUCCUGAUAGGUGCUGAGCACCAUCUAGCUGCAAAGUCAGCACCUUCGGAACUGUCCUCAACCUUGUCUGAGAUC